rnacentral:rRNA from 1 species
CCCUUAGAGUUUGAUCCUGGCUCAGGAUGAACGCUAGCUACAGGCUUAACACAUGCAAGUCGAGGGGCAGCAUUUUAGUUUGCUUGCAAACUGAAGAUGGCGACCGGCGCACGGGUGAGUAACACGUAUCCAACCUGCCGAUAACUCCGGGAUAGCCUUUCGAAAGAAAGAUUAAUACCGGAUGGCAUACGAAUAUCGCAUGAUAUUUUUAUUAAAGAAUUUCGGUUAUCGAUGGGGAUGCGUUCCAUUAGUUUGUUGGCGGGGUAACGGCCCACCAAGACAACGAUGGAUAGGGGUUCUGAGAGGAAGGUCCCCCACAUUGGAACUGAGACACGGUCCAAACUCCUACGGGAGGCAGCAGUGAGGAAUAUUGGUCAAUGGGCGAGAGCCUGAACCAGCCAAGUAGCGUGAAGGAUGAAGGCUCUAUGGGUCGUAAACUUCUUUUAUAUGGAAUAAAGUUUUCCAC